rnacentral:tRNA from 1 species
GCAUCAAUGGCGGAAUGGCAGACGCGCACGCUUGAGGGGCGUGUGGGGUAACCCGUGCAAGUUCAAGUCUUGUUUGGUGCACCA